GCCUUUGUGGUGUAACGGUUAGCACACUCGCCGCGCAUUCGAGAGGUCCCAGGUUAGAGUCCUGGCGAGGGCA